GAAGUCGGGGGGGGGAACGAAAGACAGAAAGAAGAAAAAAAAAGAAAACACCCUCCAUCUGCUUCCCAUCAUCUUCAUCCAUCUCCCCCACCCCUGUCAACCAGACUCUUUCUCCCUCUCUGUUUCAUGCUCUGCCUAGCCAACUCAUCCAGCCCUCCAACACCACAACCACUGGAGCUGCGGUGUGGAUAAAUAGUCCCCCAACAGCUGGGUCUGACUUUUGACCAGGACCACCCCUCCAGACAGGACCAACAACACUGCCUUUUCUUUCCCACCACAACCACUGCCACCACCUCCUCUCUGAGUGUGUAUCCUGUGUUUCAAAGACGGAGCCGAGACAAGUCAGAGUCUUUGUUUAUGUUAUGAUUUAUUUGAGCUUGUACAUUACGACUCUGUUCGUUCAGAUUCAUUACUCGGGCAUUUCAUAAAUGGCCCUCUGACUUGCUCCGUCUGACCUCGGUGAAGGUUUGUUUACAAUUCCAGACUUGCAAAAAAAAAAAAAAAAACGGGAUUUGAGGUAUGAUCGUUCGACAAAAACCUAUUUUCCCGUGUUUCCUUUCAAAUGUUUCAGGACUAUACACAAAUACACCCGAGCCGUACGCGGCUCCAAUAAAUUCUUGAUUGCGCCUUUAAGUCGAGAGCGUGUUGUUUGUUCAGCUGCUCGAGGGCCUCGGAGAGAAACCCGGGGAGGCCGCGGAGAAUUCAUACCUUCUAUUCAUCACAGAGGAAGGGGAGGAGGGAGGAGUUUUAGGACGAAGAAAGAGCGAGGAAAUGAAAAGACAAGAGCCUGUUUUUUUCCGCCCCCCCCCCUCCUUCUCUGCUGAGUAAGGAAAGAGGUAAGCUCUGCUUUCUGACAGCUGGGCCGAGAAACCUCUGCUCAAAUGAUCAACGACUCAUACCUCAUUUAUGCAACCAUUAAGGCACAAAUUGUUUCAGAUUUGCGGCAAUCAAUAAUCUCAGUUCCAGACUGAAAAGACAGAGGUUCUUUUUAUCUACGGAGGGAUUUUCAUCGCGAUGCACCAGAUUUUUGUUUCAAAAGAUAUACAGAGGAAUGGACUACAGACGUGUUGAGUCGGUAUAAAACUGACCGCUGGCUCACAGGAAAUAGCAUCACGGAACCAUUAUCAAUGGGGACAUUUGCAUCACGUUUUUGUACAACUUUUUAGGACCUUGAAGAAAGUUUACUUCUAGAUAAGAUGUUCUAAAGCUUUCGUACUUAUGAGCAAAUCUCUAUUAGUUGACUACUUACAAAUCAGAAGCAAAAUAAACAGCAAAAACACAUCAUGUGCCCUUGAGUAGGAACUGUUGACUUAUUGCCUUCUUAGCGUCCCGUCUUUCUUGAAAGUUCAUCGAGGUUCAGAGUUGCGAGCCUGUACCUGUUGAACCAUCUGAUUCCAGCUGAUGGGAUUCAGGUCAGGCCACUUUAUUCGAGGUACCGCUGUGUCCAGCAGCCGGGACCUCAGUGAGCUGCAGCAUCGUCGUCUACGUUGAUGAAAUUAGGCCUCAUAGGAAUGAUGACAUUAUUCAGGCAGUAUUGGCUUCUCACUGUGCCAUUCACAAAAUGUAGGGCAGUUUUGUCAACACUGUAUCACCACCAACACCAAAAGCUUGUUUAAAGACAACAGCAGUUGAUACAUCGCCGGCAGCCAUCUUGUCUACUCGAUGUGAACUGACUUUCAUCAGAACCAACCAGUCCUUCAUCCGGGGUAAAUGCUCCCUCGUGGUGCGGUCAGGGGCCCUAGAACAAGCUGAGGUAAAUAGUUUCCAAUGGCCAGACGGAAGACCUCUCUUAAAUGAGUUGAGUGGCAUUCAUCAUCCGGUUCCACAAGAGAACUGUUCACAGCGUGGGAUGUGGCCAAAGGACGUCCACCUCCAGACCUUUUCUACGCCUCUCCCAGUCUCUGUAUCUUCGUUGCAGCCUACAGAUGUGACACUAUGACCUCAGCGGCCACUUCCACCUGAGGACAUCCUGUUUGAAGCCCUGCAGACACAAAGUACUGUUGAUCAGACGUGAGGUGUUGUCUCGUUCUCACAAUGUCGAAGUGAAAGCUGAACGUCUCCAACUUUUACUGUCAUCAGACUCAAAUAUGAACAGCCUGCAGCUCUGAAGUGACCCGAAGAAGACCUGACAUCACCACGCUGCGUUUUCCUUAUGAGUGGCGCACAUCAACUGCAGCGUAACAAUUUUGGAAUUGGAGUCAAUAAAACGUCAACAACAUGAUCUGCUCAAUGAUCGCUUCGUCGAUUGUUGGAUGUUACAUUGGGUCUUGCCGCUUCCCGCCUGCUUGGGUGCCAAAUAGCUAACCUGUCACUCUUCCAUUCAGACCCAGGUUGUUUCAGUUUGGGAAAGCACAUGUAAAAUAACCCGAGUCUGAACUGUGCUGUUCAUUAUGGACCACUGAAUGAGCAGACUGAACGUAGCUAUAAAGGGAGCAGGAUGGGAUUAGCUAGAAUCCGAGGCAAGCGAUUAACGAGGUGACAAUUACAGGCCUGAGGAACAGGUGAGGGUAAUUAUCUGAAUGCGCUGCAACUGUGGCGAAAAAUAUGCAAAGACAUGGAGGUGUAGUGGCUAAAAUGACACAGAAUGAAUUGAGAAAGAGUGGAAAGUGAUUACUGAAAGAAGCAAAUUAACCAAACGAUAAUCCACUCAAAAUACAACUGGUAGAACAACAAAAUGCAAAAUCAAAGCCCAAAGAUUCACUUUAGUGUCAAGAAACCAAAAUCAUAGUUAAAAUUAAAACAGCAAGUGGACAGUUCUUCCUGAGACGGGCUUCACCGUCAUCACGCUUCCCCAUGGUGUUGAGAAGUAAAUCAAAAAUCAAAUGGUUAAAUCAAACUCCACAAACGAAGGAUGAUUAACCCUGCUGCUGCUGUGGAACACGUUCAACCUGAACAGACAGGAUUUGCCUUUCCCCGUGAUUCAACGCUAGGCUCAUCUCCAUUCUGCUCCCACUUCCUCUGUCACGAUCAUCUCUGCUUCACCCUGUUGUUACUCACUCUAGUUGCAACAGUGGUGCUUCACAAGUGUCUCAUCAGCACUUCUCACUUCCCCUUUUGGUGGACUGAAAAACACUGCAGGCUGAUUAAGUUCAGAUCAGGAAGAAGCCGCUGUGGUCAACAAAUAAUCCCUACCAUGUGAACCGCGCUGCGUCUGGAACGGCUAAUAAACCGCUCGCGCUGAUUCAGCAAACAUGCUAUCUGAGUUCUUAACCAUUUGACCGUGUUUGGAGUCAAACUUGUUUCCAGAGUCCCUACUACAGCUGGCACGAGGUUAAGAAACUGGGACGGGCAAAAGAAGAAAAAAGGGCGGGAAAGGAAAACACUCGGAGAGGUAGUUUUGAGAGCCCCAAUGGUUUAUUACCCUCGAUUUUCAGGGGCUGAAAUUUCAGCCUUGCUUUGAGGAGAAACUCGAACCGCUGGUCCAGCUGUCCACAGCUUGCCAGGAUUGAGAAAACCUCCACCGCACACAUUCUCCCAAACCUAGUCUCUUCUUCUUUUUUUUUUUUUGCGCCCCCCUCCUCCCUUGCGUCUCCCAGCCAGGUAAUCAAUAGGAAACCCACACCCAAACACGCUGUGGCUGCCAGAGGAAUCGAGACAAGCUGCUGUGACAUGAAGGUCCCACAAACAAAUCUGUCACUCGGGCGAGCGACCGUGUUCUCACUUGUAUGUUUUAUGUUCUCUGUCCCGCUCUAGCUGUGCAAACAAAAACAACAAACAAUUGUAACAUGACCAGAUUGGAAACAAUUGGAAAUGUUUCAGCUCUUUGGUGCUAUUUUUAUCAAGCUUUUAUCAUUGACUAUUAUUUUGAAGGAAGAAAGGAAGAAGUUCUUGGGCUGAACUUUCGCUUUGAGACAGACGACAAACAAAGAGCUAUUGUUGGGCUGGAUGCAAAUAGCCAGUUUUAUUAGCAAAACUUUAAAUGGUCUGUGUGGCAGGGACAAAGCAACAGGAAACACGUAAAUGAUUUGUAAGUACUGUGAAAAUAUCGGGAGUGGCUAACAAUCAGCGCUGACGACGCUAGCAGCAGACUCUAAUCUGAACUAUCCUGCUGCGCCAAGCUAGUGGUGCAUGUUAGCAAUCAUCUUAUUGAAUAAAUUGUAUCUAGAUUAUUAUAUCUAGCUACUUUGUGCGCUGUGUCAUCUCGUGAGCUGCGUACAUUGUUACACCCCUCUUGUUUAGUGGAAUUCAUCAAAUAGUGAUGCUUUUUUUUUUUUACAUCACUAUUACAGGAUUUUAUUUUAUUUUUUUAAUGGUUUUAGAAAGUUCACAUUUAUAUGAGGUUCUAACUGAAAAAGUUGAGUGAAAUGUGUUUUUUCUAACAGGUGAUUAUCAUGUUUAGAUGGAGAAACUCUGCUUUGUUCUCCUCUGUGCCUCGCGCGGUGCAGCGGAAAGACACUCCGACCUCACAGUGACUCAUUAUCCAGGCCUCGGUCACACACAGGGAAUUAGUGACCUUGGGCACUGGACAAUGAGGAGUUGUAUAAACUGCUUGUCUUAUCAGUCUCUGGGAAAUGUAUCAACUGAUCUUUUCUAGCCAGACUCUCCCACAGCCUCCUGCAGCCUUGCCUCGGCUUAGAUACAAGGAGCGGUGAUGAUGUCAUCGUGGCGUCGAGGACUUCAGCUUUGAUCUGGGAUUAUAACUUUGCCGAAUGUCUUCAGUAAAUCAAACCGGUUGCUCUGCUGGUUUUAGUUUAUUUGUCAUGCAGCAGUUUCCUCUCUUAAAUUAGCAUGAAUCUGAAUCAUUCAUUUGCUCAUUGUUUCAAGUCACGGUAAAGGGGCAGUUCAGAGUUUUUGCAUUGAGGUUCUCUUUAAAGUUCAUGACGAGUUUAUGUCUUACCUACAACUAGUUAAUGUUUUGAUAUAUUAAGACAUAAAAGAACAUUUUACUCGGUGCCAGAAACAACAGCUAACAGCUUUCCUGACGGUCCAUGAUUAUACCAGGUUUCUUUAAAAUACUCCAAUGUCAAAAACUUCAUUAUGAUUUAUGUUACUUUUUCUUUGGAUGGUUAUUUACAGAAUUUGCUAUGGACAAUGGAUGUAGGAGGUGGUGUGUUCCCAAUUAUCUUCCUGUAGAAAACACAUAGAGAGAAUAGGAAGUAAUUCAAGUCAAUAAAAGUGACUGAUGUAAAAAGUAAAAAACCGAAACAACAAAAAUAAUUCUAACAAAAUGUAAUUAUAUUUAAUCGUACAGUCUUCUGAAAGGAAGCAACUCUGACUUGUAACAACUUACAUGUUCUGUUCUUAGUAUGUUUCCCACAGGAAGACAAUUAGUGGUGCACCGCCUCCAUCCAGGAGUUUCUGUUUAAAUAACUGUGAAUAAACUGAACACCACAUCUAGCAUGUUAAAUACAUCUGAAUAUGGAGGCAGAUGAGAUUUUAAAAAUAACAGCAUUUAAUUAAACAUACUUUUGUUCAAACCAA